UACGUAGGGCGCAAGCGUUAUCCGGAAUUAUUGGGCGUAAAGAGCUCGUAGGCGGUUUGUCGCGUCUGCCGUGAAAGUCCGGGGCUCAACUCCGGAUCUGCGGUGGGUACGGGCAGACUAGAGUGAUGUAGGGGAGACUGGAAUUCCUGGUGUAGCGGUGAAUGCGCAGAUAUCAGGAGGAACACCAGAGCGAAGGCAGGACUCUGGGCCAUUACUGACACUGAGGAGCGAAAGCGUGGGGAGCGAACAGG
rnacentral:rRNA from 1 species